rnacentral:lncRNA from 1 species
AUGAGGACUUUGUGUGUUGCUGUUGUUUUGCUGAGUUUAACCUCAUGGUGUCAGCCUGCUCCGCUGACCUGUGAGAAUUUACUGAAACCAGCUGAGAGAGGUCCAGAUAUUGCUGGCAGAUGGUAUGUUGUGGCUUUGUCCUCACAAAAAUGCACACUUAUGCCAAUUUGGACAACUUUUCUUACACCAAGUGCUCAAGUGGACAUGAGCUCAACAGACAAACCAAACAACUACAAGGCUGAUGUUUACAUUAAAUCGUAUGGCCGCUGUAAAAACAGCAGCGCACCAGUUCUCUAUGAGAACAGCACCAUAUAUGAUGCUGAAAACACAGUUGCUGAGAGUGCAAAGCUUGAGUUACUACAAACUGGGAGUCAAGACUGCGUCGUUUUAAAGGAGGGCGACUUCCUCAGUUCUGCACUGCUGCUCUGUAGGAGAAUGACCGUCACUGCUGCUGAGAUGACAGAGUUUCAGACACAGUCAAGCUGCCUCACCUAUGACAAAGUAUCGGUCCUAAACACAGAUCACGAACUUUCAAACUGCAAGUCAAUGGAAGAUGAAGACUUUGACGAUGAGACUUCAGAGAAAGUUGUAGCAGCACUAAGAAACACCUUCUCAGGGUUCUUCCAGUGUGUCACAGACACUGUUCUUUACUAUCCUUAUACUGCUUAUGAGUGGGCUAGGAACAAGUGGGCAAGUCUGUGGUGAAAACAAUAAAAUCGAUGUGAAGGUUGAAAGAUUUGUGAGU